rnacentral:hammerhead_ribozyme from 1 species
AUUUAGCUAGUGAGUCCAAAAUAGGACGAAACACGCGUCCUGGAU